rnacentral:rRNA from 1 species
GAACGCUGGCGGCAGGCCUAACACAUGCAAGUCGAGCGCGCCCUUCGGGGUGAGCGGCGGACGGGUUAGUAACGCGUGGGAAUAUGCCCAAUGGUACGGAAUAGCCUCUGGAAACGGAGAGUAAUACCGUAUGUGCCCUUCGGGGGAAAGAUUUAUCGCCAUUGGAUUAGCCCGCGUUAGAUUAGGUAGUUGGUGGGGUAAUGGCCUACCAAGCCUACGAUCUAUAGCUGGUUUUAGAGGAUGAUCAGCAACACUGGGACUGAGACACGGCCCAGACUCCUACGGGAGGCAGCAGUGGGGAAUCUUGGACAAUGGGCGCAAGCCUGAUCCAGCCAUGCCGCGUGAGUGAUGAAGGCCUUAGGGUCGUAAAGCUCUUUCGCCUGUGAAGAUAAUGACGGUAGCAGGUAAAGAAACCCCGGCUAACUCCGUGCCAGCAGCCGCGGUAAUACGGAGGGGGUUAGCGUUGUUCGGAAUUACUGGGCGUAAAGCGCACGUAGGCGGACUGGAAAGUUGGGGGUGAAAUCCCAGGGCUCAACCCUGGAACUGCCUCCAAAACUAUCAGUCUAGAGUUCGAGAGAGGUGAGUGGAAUUCCGAGUGUAGAGGUGAAAUUCGUAGAUAUUCGGAGGAACACCAGUGGCGAAGGCGGCUCACUGGCUCGAUACUGACGCUGAGGUGCGAAAGUGUGGGGAGCAA